AACGAACGCUGGCGGCAGGCCUAACACAUGCAAGUCGAGCGAGGACUUCGGUUCUAGCGGCGGACGGGUGAGUAACGCGUGGGAAUGUGCCCUUCUCUACGGAAUAGCCCUGGGAAACUGGGAGUAAUACCGUAUACGCCCUAUUGGGGAAAGAUUUAUCGGAGAAGGAUCAGCCCGCGUUGGAUUAGGUAGUUGGUGGGGUAAUGGCCUACCAAGCCGACGAUCCAUAGCUGGUUUGAGAGGAUGAUCAGCCACACUGGGACUGAGACACGGCCCAGACUCCUACGGGAGGCAGCAGUGGGGAAGCUUAGACAAUGGGGGCAACCCUGAUCUAGCCAUGCCGCGUGAGUGAUGAAGGCCUUAGGGUUGUAAAGCUCUUUCAGCUGGGAAGAUAAUGACGGUACCAGCAGAAGAAGCCCCGGCUAACUCCGUGC
rnacentral:rRNA from 1 species